rnacentral:lncRNA from 1 species
UUUGGUCGUCUCUGCCCCAGUCCCUUCGCCGCGGGACGCGCGAGACGGGAGAAGGUGCGGGAAGCGGGAAGCAGGAGCGGGAGCGCGCGGCCCUGGCACGCAUAGGGCGGCGGAGAGGGCACGAGCAGGGAUUGAGCACCUACUGUGUGCCUUCACGCUUUACAAAAGGAUUUUCGUUCGAUGUUCACUACAGCCCCUGCCCGGGGGUACUGAUGCCCCAUUUACAGAGGGACAAGCCGGAUUUCGGAGAGGUGAAGUCACUCGCCGAAAGUCGCACCGCCAGGGUCUGCGUGACACCCCAAAGCAGUGUUCAGUUACCCCGGGGAGAGCGCGAUGAACUUGAACCACUUGUUGGCUGGUUCCUGCUCUUGCUCGUUUUUUGCGGAUCGACACAUAGUGGGCACUGAGGAAAAUAAAUGUUGGAAGCUUGAGAUUGAACUUGACAGCUCGACCCUAAGUACCCGCCACGAAUCCAGCCCAGCCCGCGGGGCACCGGGUUUCUCCAGACCUCGCAGGGAACAUUUGCGGAUGGGCUGGUAGAGGAGGCUCGGACAUCCCAGCUCCGCACCCGCACUCGACCAACGCGUGGUAGCGGAACCCCUGUCGUAGCGAGGCACAGACUGGGUUCAAGUCCCGACUCUGCCGAUUUCAGCCUGAGUGACUUUGAGCGAGUCACUUUUUCCCGUCGAAACCUCAGUUGCUCCAUCCACAAAAUGGGAGAUAUGAACAGCCACCCUAAAACGGUGUGGGGGGGAUUAAACGAAACAACGUUCCCAAAACGCUAAACUUACAAGUGUUGUCUCCCGUCCAUCCCAUAAACUUAGGCGACAAACCUGGCGCAGGGUGACCUGAGACAAAGGCUUCCCGGCCCCUGUCUCCAAGUCGUCCACCCCUGGGGCGUAGGCACGUUUUAGUGAGCCCUGUCCGGCGAAACCCGAAACUGCGGCCACCUUGGCAGCGGUGGGCCCCAAAAGGAAAUAUUCAAAUAUUCUGAAACUCGUGCAUGAUUUAGGACUGACAUUUUUACGUUUAAUUUUCUUGCAGUUUUAUUCUUGCUAGUAAAGGUAAUUCGUUAGAAACCCUUAAGUGCAGUUUCUCCUCUGUGUCUUGUUUAACUUUUCGUGUUAGCGAAAUUCACAAAUUUGACCAAGGAACCGGAGCGCGGCCGUCCUCGCCGGGAUUCCGGUCAUCGCAAUAAUCUGGCUCUCGGCCCCUACUCCCAGGCACGGAGGUCGAAGAGACGGGCUUCCCCUACACCGCCCUGUGUAGAUGUAGCCUCUUCGUCCCGGCAGCCCUCCGAGAUUCCCUGUGUCCACCGGAGCGAGGGGAGGUGUGGGGCUGCAGCCCAGAACUCAGCUUCCUGGACCUCCCCAAACUCCCGCCUCUCCGGGAUUAAGGGAGUAAAUCCCUGACGCCAAAGACCAGGUCAAGGACAAGUUCUCCCCCGCCCUACUCCCCCCUCCUGGGCGGGGAUUCACCUCCCUUCCGGAUGAAAGGUACUAAAGAGCCGACGGGGGGCCGCGGCGGGCCCCAGGCCCUUGAUGUUCCGGUUGAACAGGUGCUGGUGAAAAGGAGGCGGACCCGGCGGAAGAGUCUGCCAGGGGGCAGUGCGCCGAAGGGGAGGCGGCCUCCUCCACCCCCAGUCCCCCGGCCCGUCUUCCCUUCUCCUCUCUGUUUGCCCCUCCCCCGCAGGAAGCGUUCCCGGCCGCGAGGUCUUUGAAGUGUCGUUGAAGCCCCCAGGGCUGCGUUCUCCCCUACGCCACCCGAACUCCCGCUGUGGGGGGCGGGUGACCUUUAGUCCCCACGAGUCGUCCCCCUUUAGGAAGUUUUUGGGGGUCAGAUCUCACCCCCCCUUGCCCACACAGGUCUUGGGAAGAAGACUUUGGGCCGACGCCCCUCACUAGACCCAAUUGCAGGGACUUUAGUCCUCUGGAGUGCUGCGUGUGAGUUACCUUGUGUGUCUGUGUGCGUGCCUAGAGGUCAAGUGUAACUGGUGUUCGUGAGCACCUCGUGGUUGCGGGUCUCUAACUCUCGUGGGUCUCUAAGCGCACCCGCGGGGCUGGAGCGGAGGUUCGUGUCUCUGGGAGGGUCAGUGGUGUGACUGAAGCUGGGAGUUAGCUUGUGUCUGUGGGUGCCUCGGUGUGUGUCUCUGGGGCUCUGAGUCCCUGUGCGUGCGUGUGUGUCUGUGAACCCGACAGGAAGCUCCCCGAGGGCAGGAAUAUGUUUUGCUCUCUACUCGAUCCCAGCGACUGGCAACGAGCGUUUAAUAAAUAUCUGUUGAAUGAAUAAA